UACGUAGGUGGCGAGCGUUGUCCGGAUUUACUGGGCGUAAAGGGAGCGUAGGCGGACUUUUAAGUGAGAUGUGAAAUACCCGGGCUCAACUUGGGUGCUGCAUUUCAAACUGGAAGUCUAGAGUGCGGGAGAGGAGAAUGGAAUUCCUAGUGUAGCGGUGAAAUGCGUAGAGAUUAGGAAGAACACCAGUGGCGAAGGCGAUUCUCUGGACUGUAACUGACGCUGAGGCUCGAAAGCGUGGGGAGCAAACAGGAUUAGAUACCCCCGUAGU
rnacentral:rRNA from 1 species